rnacentral:misc_RNA from 1 species
AACACUGUUAACCUGCGGUACCUGCGGAAGGAUCAUUACAAGUGACCCCGGUCUAACCACCGGGAUGUUCAUAACCCUUUGUUGUCCGACUCUGUUGCCUCCGGGGCGACCCUGCCUUCGGGCGGGGGCUCCGGGUGGACACUUCAAACUCUUGCGUAACUUUGCAGUCUGAGUAAACUUAAUUAAUAAAUUAAAACUUUCAGCAACGGAUCU